GUUUGCUUUGACAGAAUGUAUACUAAAAUUGAAACAACCCAGAGAAGAUUAGCACGGCCCCUGCACAAGGAUGACAUGCAAACUCAUGAAAUGUUCAAUACUGUU
rnacentral:snRNA from 1 species